rnacentral:rRNA from 1 species
UACAGAGGUCCCGAGCGUUGUUCGGAUUCACUGGGCGUAAAGGGUGCGUAGGUGGCGAGGUAAGUCGGAUGUGAAAGCUCGGAGCUCAACUCCGAAAUGGCAUUGGAAACUACCUUGCUCGAGGGUUGGAGGGGGGACUGGAAUACUUGGUGUAGCAGUGAAAUGCGUAGAUAUCAGGAGGAACACCUGUGGCGAAAGCGGCUCACUGGACCAUAACUGACGCUGAUGCACGAAAGCUAGGGGAGCAAACAGG